rnacentral:rRNA from 1 species
GAUGAACGCUGGCGGCGUGCCUAAUACAUGCAAGUCGAACGCGCAGCGAAAGGUGCUUGCACCUUUCAAGCGAGUGGCGAACGGGUGAGUAACACGUGGAUAACCUGCCUCAAGGCUGGGGAUAACAUUUGGAAACAGAUGCUAAUACCGAAUAAAACUUAGUAUCGCAUGAUACAAAGUUAAAAGGCGCUACGGCGUCACCUAGAGAUGGAUCCGCGGUGCAUUAGUUAGUUGGUGGGGUAAAGGCUUACCAAGACGAUGAUGCAUAGCCGAGUUGAGAGACUGAUCGGCCACAUUGGGACUGAGACGCGGCCCAAACUCCUACGGGAGGCGGCAGUAGGGAAUCUUCCACAAUGGGCGCAAGCCUGAUGGAGCAACGCCGCGUGUGUGAUGAAGGCUUUCGGGUCGUAAAGCACUGUUGUAUGGGAAGAAAUGCUAAAAUAGGGAAUGAUUUUAGUUUGACGGUACCAUACCAGAAAGGGACGGCUAAAUACGUGCCAGCCGCCGCCGUAA